UUGACAUGGCCGACGCGGAUCGAAAGGUAAUGUCUGUUCUCAUCAGCUUAAAAUCUGGUACGGGUUGUAUUUGGACCCGAUAUAUUAAAGCGAUUUUUGCAAGUUGGCGGACUGCUUGAAGCCUGCUUCACCUCCACCGUGGGUCGGCCCGGUUUGCCGGGUGAUCCGGAACUAUCUUCGGGAUCGGCCCGCGGUUU
rnacentral:snRNA from 1 species